GGAGGAAUACCCAAGUCUGGCUGAAGGGAUCGGUCUUGAAAACCGACAGGCGGGUCAUACCGCGCGGGGGUUCGAAUCCCUCUUCCUCCGCCA
rnacentral:tRNA from 3 species